GACGAACGCUGGCGGCGUGCUUAACACAUGCAAGUCGAACGAAGUGGCGAACGGGUGAGUAACGAGUAAUCAACCUGCCCUUCAGAGGGGGCCAACAGUUGGAAACGACUGCUAAUACCGCAUACUGAAGGAGGGGAUUGCGUCUGAUUAGCUGGUUGGAGGGGUAACGGCCUACGAAAGCGAUGAACAGGAGCCGGGCUGAGAGGAUGAACGGGCACAUGGGGACUGAGACACGGCCCAUACUCCUCCGGGAGGCAGCAGUGGGGAAUUUUCCGCAAUGGACGAAAGUCUGACGGAGCAACGCCGCGUGAGUGAUGACGGCCUUCGGGUUGUAAAGCUCUGUUAAUCGGGACGCGGUACCGGAAUAGAAAGCCACGGCUAACUACGUGCCAGCAGCCGCGGUAAUAC
rnacentral:rRNA from 1 species